rnacentral:rRNA from 1 species
GACGGAGGAUGCAAGUGUUAUCCGGAAUCACUGGGCGUAAAGCGUCUGUAGGUGGUCAAAUAAGUCAACUGUUAAAUCUUGAGGCUCAACCUCAAAAUCGCAGUCGAAACUAUUAGACUAGAGUAUAGUAGGGGUAAAGGGAAUUUCCAGUGGAGCGGUGAAAUGCGUAGAGAUUGGAAAGAACACCGAUGGCGAAGGCACUUUACUGGGCUAUUACUAACACUCAGAGACGAAGGCUAGGGUAGCAAAUGGG